GAUGAACGCUGGCGGCGUGCCUAAUACAUGCAAGUCGAGCGAACAGACGAGGAGCUUGCUCCUCUGACGUUAGCGGCGGACGGGUGAGUAACACGUGGAUAACCUACCUAUAAGACUGGGAUAACUUCGGGAAACCGGAGCUAAUACCGGAUAACAUGUUGAACCGCAUGGUUCAAUAGUGAAAGACGGUCUUGCUGUCACUUAUAGAUGGAUCCGCGCCGCAUUAGCUAGUUGGUAAGGUAACGGCUUACCAAGGCAACGAUGCGUAGCCGACCUGAGAGGGUGAUCGGCCACACUGGAACUGAGACACGGUCCAGACUCCUACGGGAGGCAGCAGUAGGGAAUCUUCCGCAAAGGGCGAAAGCCUGACGGAGCAACGCCGCGUGAGUGAAGAAGGUCUUCGGAUCGUAAAACUCUGUUAUUAGGGAAGAACAAAUGUGUAAGUAACUAUGCACGUCUUGACGGUACCUAAUCAGAAAGCCACGGCUAACUACGUG
rnacentral:rRNA from 1 species